ensembl:lncRNA
UUUAAAUGUAUAAAAUCUCUUUGUUGUUCUCUGAAUAUUCCUUUUCAUGUCUUCUCUUUCUCUGUCUUAAUUAAUCUCGUCUAAGACUUCUAUAUUGUUUAACCUUUUCAAACAGUCAUCUUGGUUUGUUAAUUUUCUCUCUUUCAUUUAUUACUUUCCUCAUGUGGCAGUUCAAGUUCAAACUUGAACACUUGUACAAAGACUCCUUGGAUGAUCUGCUUGUGAUAUUGGAGCAUUUCCUCCUUGCUGGCUGACACAAUGGCAAGCUUUGUCAGUGAAGAGUGCCGAAGAGACACUGCAAGAGGAAGGGGCUUCUCUCCCAGUUCCAGGUUUUGAUCUGUGGUUGGUUGAAUACAUGGAUGCAGAACCCACGGAUGGUGAGGACUGAUUGUACUCAGAAACUCGUCGUAUCCUCAUGUUGGCUCUUGGACCCAUUGGAUGGAGGCCAUCAUGGUUGGAAAGGCUAAAUGAAAAACCCUUGGAACUUCUCCUCCCUACCAAGGUGCCUCGGUGCAGAAGUUUGGGAAACCCUGGUUUCACAGUCGAUGGGAAGACACCAACGACUUUUCAGGCAGAGACAUUACGUGAGAAGGAAAGAAGGAUACCCCAAGAAGCAGGGAGGCCAGUAGAAAACACCUGCAAUAGCUCAGGAGGGGAGUUAGUACAUCUGAAACAGACUGGCAACAUUGGGAAGAAGAGGAAGGGAAGUACUUAAGAAUGAUUUAGGAGGUAGAAUGGCUUGGUUGAAGAAAUGAAGGAAAUUGGAGAUGAACAAGGACUCCCUGGCUUUAGGCUUGUGUAAUGGAAGAAUGUUGGUACCAUUCUUUGAGCCAGGAUUCAAGAGGAAGAGACUUUGAAUUGCAGGACGGGGGCCACAUGGGCCAAGUCUCCAACAAAGAGUCUGAGGCCUGAUUUGGAUCACUUCCUGAGUUCCUUUUAUUCACAUUAAUAAAGGAGAUAUAGGGAAACAUAUUGCUCUUAUUAUGAUAAUUACCAUGAAAAUUAAUGAUCACAUGAAAAAACUAUCUCUGAGUAAGCUACUUCUAGCAAUAUUUAUUUGUUCUGAAAGCACAGGGUCCUCGUCAUGUUUGCAAAACCUCUCUCUUCUGCUAUUGUGUUAACCUUCCUAUCCCUACCCAGGAAUGUCAUCCUUCAGAUAUGGCAUCUUGUGACUUUUAUCAAUCUCCAUGACCUUUACAUAAUGCACCAAGAAAACAAUGGAACAAGACAGGGGCAACAGAGAAGAGUUGUUGAGAUUAAUGAAGGGAUUUUGAGACCAUCUUAACAAGAGUCAGGAUUGCUGAAAAUGAGGACGUCAGGGAGUAUGGAAGACUCAGAAGAGGAAGACCUUUCAUUCCAAAGGGGGAAUAUGCCCUUCACUGCCUAAAGCCUCUGGCAUUAUCAGGAAGUGAGUAGACACAGGAUUUACUUCGUGAAUUUGUUUCUGGUGAGACUUCAUGGUGGAAGCGCACUGGACAGGGAGUCAGCAAUGCUGGCUCUGGCCAGUGCUCUGUGCCAACUGCAGGCUCCCUAGGUACUCCUGUGUUUUGGGCUUCAGGUUCCUUAUCUGUCACAUGAUUGGAUUCUUGAAGUUCCAGAGCCCAGAAGGUCUCUGCUUCUUCCUCGUCUCUGUGGUGAACCCAAUGCAAACAACAAAGAAAUGUACUGAUGACACGUGAAGCAUUACUGCUAUUCAAAUCAGCCACCUGUAAAUUAUUUCUCUGCUGUCAGAUCACAUAAGAGGAGUUACUAGACUCAGGCUCAGAGUAAAGGUGUUCUGAUGUCCAUCCGUCCAGAAUCUGAUCAGCUUCUCAUCACCCAGACAUCACCUGAGAACAAUGAGAAUCUCCAGGUGUCCUAUCACCGAUAGGCAGAUCCCUGUCUGCUCCUCAAAAUAGAGACUUGGGCAAUCGCUAUCAGUCCUUGCUGGCAUGGUGCCACUUUGAUUCCAAUUACCACCAUCGCCCCUCCCUGACAGUCAAGUCUGGGAUACAAGGAGUUGAAGAUCCUCAGUCCACCUAUGAAAGAAGGGAAAUCACACACACUCAGUCAGCAAAGGGUGGCUCUCAGAAAAAAAAAAAUAAUAGUUUAGGUGAAAUUUCCUCAUCCAGGGUAUCAGCUAUAUCCCAACAGGAGAGUUGGGACAAUUUUCUGAUGACUCAAGGCCCCGUGAAACACAUUCUUCAGCCUGGUAAUGAGUGACUUAUUACUAAAACCAGAAAAAUAUAUGCCAGGAUCAUCACAUGGUAGACAUUGUAAUACAACAUCCUCAGCAACAACCCUACAAUGGAUGUGGUGAUGAAGGCCGUAGAGAGUUUCCUCAAAAUACUCAUCAAGGUAAGUGGAUGGUAUCAUCCCAAGGUAUAAUACAAUUCCAAGCAAGAGUUUCAUAGCUGAUGUCACAAGAUGCUCCAGAGAGGAGGAGCUCUGCUGGUUUGUCUUGAUCCAAGUGUAACCUUGGAUUUCUGCUUUGCUUUCUGGUACUUGCCAGCACUGGAUUCAUCAUGAAAAGAAUCAAUCCUAAGAGUUUUUUUAAAAAGUUGAGGUGAACUCUCUUUGGCAACAGUACCAAUCCUGUGAGCUAGUUAGGAGUGCUUUUGGCCACAAGUAACAUGAAUCCUAUUAAAUAGUGGUUUUAUGAUUUAAAAACCUAAAUUGUUUGCAUAGCAAAAAAUUCUAAAGGCAGCUGCCUCAUACUUAAUUCAACAGCUGAAGUUUGUCAUUGAAAAUCUAGCCUCUUUCCAUCUUUCUACUCUGCCCUCUUGAGAAUAUUGGCUGUUUGUGUUUGUGUUUGUUGCCUCAUGGCUGCAAAAUGACUGCUGUGGUCAUUUUGUGUCAAGCAUCUCAGUCAUAUUCAAAAGCCUGUCGCCCCGAUCCAUUCAAAUUAGUAUGGAUCAGGGCAACAGGCGUUCUCCUCAAAAGUCUCUAUUAGGAAAGCCCUGCCUUUCCUAGAAUUCACCAUCGGAUAUCCCCUUCCAUCUCACUGGUUAGAGCUGGAACAUGGGCCACCCCUAUCUAAAAGGGGAGCUGUGAGAGGGCAAAGGAAAAUAUUAGGGCUUCUAGAUAGUCAAACAAUAGUCUCUGCCACAUCCAGGGAAGUGCCUUGAGGCGAAAGAAGCCUUCACCUUGCUUGAAGGAUGUUUCUUUUAUUUUCCAGGGCCACAAAGACCUUUACAGGAGGAGCAACAAAGUAUAGCUGCCUGAGACAAAAAUCUAUUCAAGCUUAAAAUGCAAGAGCAUUAGCUGCUCAGAGCCGUCACCAAGGAGAGAUAAAAUACGUCUGCUCUCUCAAGACCUGGGAGAUGCUAGCAGUGUGAUUGUUUUUUUGGCUGGGAAAGCUGCUUAGCCGACAGAAAAAGGAACGUACCUGAACAUUUAUGGGUUGGCUUUUCAAAGAGAGCAUCCCGUCUUCCUUUCACCCCUCCCUCCUCCCCUUCCCUGUAAAGGAACACUUAGCAAAAGUAAAUAAAUUAUCAGCCCUGGCCAUGCAGAAAUGCCUCUCACAGGGUAAUGCAGGGAUGUCUGAAGCCAUAAAGGGAAUUUUCAGAGCUGAAGUCAUCAACACGGAAGAGGCAAGCAGGGGAGAGGCUGGAAGGAAUGUGGAGAUUCCCUCUUCCCCUUGCUGGUCUGGGCUAUAAUGGAGAAGACCUGGGGCUCCUUAUGAGUGCUGACCCAAAAAAGUCUGGGCAGAAGGUGAUCAUCCCAGGCUGCUCAGGAUCGUGCAGUUAUUGAGCUCAAACAAAGCACUGUGGGGUAGAGAGCUGAGCACUGGGUUUGGAGCCAGGAACCCUGGCUCUCAGGCCCUCCUCUGCCAUCCUCUUGCUGGCUGAUCUCCAGUCAGUGAGCUAUUCUGAACUUUGUCUUAUCUGGGAAAUAGAAAUGAUAACAUUUAUGUUUGCAAUGGACUGAAUAGUGUCCCUCUCCACAAAUUCAGACAUUGAAACACUGACCCCUUGAGGAGCUGUAUUCAGAGAUGGGGCUUUCAGGAAGUAAUAACGGUUCAGUGAGGUGAGAAAGGUGGGGCCCCAUUCUGAUGGUACUGGAG